rnacentral:pre_miRNA from 1 species
GGCUAACUGUGGGCGUUUGGUGAUAACAUCAGUUGCGGGAUCGAACUGGCCCGUAUCCCACGCUCUCAUUUGAGGAGCCUUUAAUCCCGCAAUUAAUGUUAUCACCAAACAACCACAAUUAACU